CGGGACGGGUGAGUAACGCGUGGAUAACCUGCCUCACACAGGGGGAUAACAGUUAGAAAUGACUGCUAAUACCGCAUAAGCGCACAGUACCGCAUGGUACAGUGUGAAAAACUCCGGUGGUGUGAGAUGGAUCCGCGUCUGAUUAGGUAGUUGGUGGGGUAACGGCCCACCAAGCCGACGAUCAGUAGCCGACCUGAGAGGGUGACCGGCCACAUUGGACUGAGACACGGCCAA
rnacentral:rRNA from 1 species